AGGGAAUAUUGCGCAAUGGAGGGAACUCCGACGCAGCGACGCCGCGUGAGCGAUGAAGGUCUUCGGAUCGUAAAGCUCUGUCCUUGGGGAAGAAUGCUGUUGAAGAAACAGCUUGACGGUACCCGAGGAGGAAGCCCCGGCUAACUACGUGCCAGCAGCCGCGGUAAUACGUAGGGGGCAAGCGUUGUCCGGAAUUAUUGGGCGUAAAGGGUGCGUAGGCGGCCUUUUAAGUCAGAUGUGAAAGACCACGGCUUAACCGUGGGGUUGCAUUUGAAACUGGAGGGCUUGAGUAUCGGAGAGGGUAGUGGAAUUCCCAGUGUAGCGGUGGAAUGCGUAGAUAUUGGGAGGAACACCAGUGGCGAAGGCGACUACCUGGACGAAAACUGACGCUGAGGCACGAAAGCUAGGGGAGCAAAC
rnacentral:rRNA from 1 species